AACGAACGCUGGCGGCGUGGAUAAGACAUGCAAGUCGAACGGGAACUUCAGCUGUAGCAAUACAGUUGAAGUUUUAGUGGCGAACGGGUGCGUAACACGUGGGCAAUCUGCCGAGAAGUGGGGGAUAGCUCGCCGAAAGGCGAAUUAAUACCGCAUAUGAUCAGCUAAGACAUCUUAGCGACAUCAAAGCCGGGGCAACCUGGCGCUUUUUGAGGAGCCCGCGGCCUAUCAGCUAGUUGGUGAGGUAACGGCUCACCAAGGCUAUGACGGGUAGCUGGUCUGAGAGGACGACCAGUCACACUGGAACUGAGACACGGUCCAGACACCUACGGGU
rnacentral:rRNA from 1 species